rnacentral:rRNA from 1 species
UAAAAGGUAACGGAGGCGCUCAAAGGUUCCCUCAGAAUGGUUGGAAAUCAUUCAUAGAGUGUAAAGGCAUAAGGGAGCUUGACUGCGAGACCUACAAGUCGAGCAGGGUCGAAAGACGGACUUAGUGAUCCGGUGGUUCCGCAUGGAAGGGCCAUCGCUCAACGGAUAAAAGCUACCCCGGGGAUAACAGGCUUAUCUCCCCCAAGAGUUCACAUCGACGGGGAGGUUUGGCACCUCGAUGUCGGCUCAUCGCAUCCUGGGGCUGUAGUCGGUCCCAAGGGUUGGGCUGUUCGCCCAUUAAAGCGGUACGCUAGCUGGGUUCAGAACGUCGUGAGACAGUUCGGUCCCUAUCCGUCGUGGGCGUAGGAAAUUUGAGAGGAGCUGUCCU